CCUCUCGAGGAUGAUCAACUGAUCUCACAUAUCCUCGUGGGGCUCGACAUGGAGUACCAGCCGUUGUUCUCAGCGCUGGAUGCUCGCACCAUCCCGGUCACGCUCGAUGAGCUCUUUGCUCAGAUGAGCAAUUUUGACC
rnacentral:snoRNA from 1 species